rnacentral:misc_RNA from 1 species
GUGAGGAAGAUGUGGACAUCGGCGAUGAAAUGCCUGCAAGCAAUUUUCCACCAGUGGAGAUCGAGAAAGAUGCCGGGGGAGGCCAUGCUAGCAGUAGUUCCAGCGGCUCCAGUAGUUCAAGCAGCGAUGAUUCUUCCUCUUCCAGUGAUUCGGAUUCCGAAGGCAGUUCUUCUGGGAGCGAUUCCGAUGACAAUGCACAAUGAAGCGGCGAGAUUUGAUGAUGACGGGGGUCUGAAAAGAGAUCCAAAAUGGAGAGCUACAAAUCCCUCUCGCGCUGCACGGAGAGAACCAUUGGGCAGAGAUUUGUCUGAAUGAGGGCUGUAAAAUCUCCAAAAUGUGGAAAUAGUGGCUUCACAAUGGGUUAGAAGUCGGCAGUUUCUGCCAUGCUAUGUAUGGCUCUUGAGGAAGGCAAUAACAUAACCAAAAACACUUGGGAACCUGAACAAUUGAGGAUGGGGGAGGAAAAGACGUAGGCAAAGGGAAGGAAAGUCGGACGAGAAAAUGACGAGCAGUGUAGGAAUGUAGGAGAAGA